rnacentral:rRNA from 1 species
UACGUAGGGUGCAAGCGUUAUCCGGAAUUAUUGGGCGUAAAGAGCUCGUAGGCGGUUUGUCGCGUCUGCUGUGAAAACCGGAGGCUCAACCUCCGGCCUGCAGUGGGUACGGGCAAACUAGAGUGCGGUAGGGGAGAUUGGAAUUCCCGGUGUAGCGGUGAAAUGCGCAGAUAUCAGGAAGAACACCCGUGGCGAAGGCGGCUCUCUGGGACGGUACUGACGCUGAGACGCGAAAGCGUGGGGAGCGAACAGG